CUUCACCGAACCGAGCCAGAGCGGCCGGCCCUCCUCACGCUCCUGCCCGUACGUGGCCAGGAGCGCCUGCGCCUC
rnacentral:antisense_RNA from 14 species